rnacentral:tRNA from 1 species
GGGGGUGUAGUUCAGUUGGUUAGAACGCCGGCCUGUCAAGCCGGAGGUCGCGGGUUCGAGCCCCGUCGCUCCCGCCA